CCCCUUGCCCUGCCCCAUUCUCCCCCCCUCCCCCGGUUUCCCACCAUCACCAUCACCCCCCCCAGAGCCUGCUCUGCUGGAAACCACGGGGGGGUGGGGGGAGAGUGGGAAGGGCCCCACGCGUGUCGCGGGGAAAGGGGCCGGGACGCGGCAGGCCGGGCCCGCGGGGCAGCGCGCAACUUCCGCGGGGCGCGCAGGGAAGCGGCGGCCGCUCCCCGGGGGGGGCUCGGCGCAGCGCGGAGCUUCACCCACUUGAAACCCCCUCUUCGUGCGCUCUUUUAAGCUCGGCGGGCCCGGGCAGGAUGUUUAUACUGCGCAAUGUAAACACGGGCUCGGGGGUGCUUUAAUAAAAAGAAAUCGGCGAAAAGUCCCCGCUGCCGCGCGAAAUGCCCUUCCCUGCCUCCGCCGCCGGUCCCGGGAUGGGAACGGGCUUCGGCCCCCUCGCCCUCUCCGAGGUUUCUUUAGGGCUGGGUUGUUUUGGGUUGUUUUUCUCUCUCUCUUUUUUUUUUUUUUUUUUUGGAGGGGGGGUGUUGUAUAUAAAUCUGUGCUGAACGUUUGCUGUUGAAUGCCAGGAGCCUGAUGCUCAGCUCCGUCGGAUGCCCCAGGCACACACACACACACAUGCGAGGGGUGUGGGGGGGAAGGAGAAUGGGAAGGAAUAGUCCUCAGCCCCCCUUUUCUCCUCCUACCCCUUCCAAAAAAAAAAAAAAAAAUAGCCCCUGUGAGCAUCUUCCCAUCGGGAGAGCUGUCACUCGCUCAUCAAGGUUUCUGGCCAGCAACUCCAGCGACUGCCACAGCCACGCUGCUCAUUUGGGGAUGUCGUGCACCGAGCUUCGAUCGGGUGCCAGCCAUGUGGGGUGGAGGAAGCCCACCCCUACCCCACUGCGGGUGGAGACAGGAAAGCCCUCACACUGGGAGAAAUAAACUCUGUUCUUUGACCAAAUGCUGUAUCUCUCAGAUCAUUUAUUUCACACCAUCUCCGCUGGCCUACUUGUAGUAGUUCAGCUCCUAGACUGGCCUCAGCACUAGGUAGGAAUUAUUAUUACCACCUGCUUGCCAAAGAGGAAACUUGGAGAAGGUGCAGUCAUGGUCUGGAAAUACUUUUGCAAUUAAAUACUUGAAAAUUUUGCAGAGAAAUCUUGCGUAGGAAAUGUAUGUCAUGCAGACUGUGGUGUCUCCACAGCAAGUAUAGCACGUCACACCUGGCAGGUAAAGCCCACUGGUGUGUGAUGCCCAGCCACAUCAAUACCUACAAUUUAUCUUGUGCUCGUGUGUCUCAGCGCUUGCUGAUGCUACAAAAACCUCGCUGCUGCAUUUCCUAGAUGAAUCAGCAGAGUCAGGUGCAUACACAGCUCGUGCACAGCUGUCAGCAGCAGCUGGGCACAUCACGCACCUUGCACAUCCUCUGGGUCCUCUCACCUGCACCUUGGAAUAUUUUCCAUGUCCAUCUCCACCUGGAAGAGCAACACAGGAGGCUCACACAGAGGGGUAGGCAGGCAGACAGAGCACUUUCUUCCUCAAGGUACCUCCAUCAUCUGCUUUUCCUUUCACCCUGCAGAGUCCGGUCCGCUUUCACUUUGGUUCAAGUUACCAGAGUUUCUCAGCCUGUUACAAUAAAGCUCAUAACAGAGUCUGUGGCCAGCUCUUUCUUUGAUAAUUCCUUUCCCCCAUUUGUUUAUCUCAAGUACUGAGCUUUGUUCCAGGCCCAAAACCAAAAGCCUUUCUACCCUGUUCUCUUCUUGACUUGUUGCAGAUGUAACGAAAUAAAUCUUUAGAAAGAACAAACCUUCACUUCCUCUCUCCCGUCUGAUUCAGUCACAAACCCCAGGAAAGAAAAAUAAAUCACAACGUGAGCUCGCCUGCUCUCGGAGGAUCCCACAUCUCCUCCCGUAGGCCACCGAUCAAACCGGGCGCAUCCAUCCCUCGGAGAGGUCAGCGAGUGCAGCAUCAGGCAUCAAACCAGCCCCCAAAACAAAGCCACGUGCACUGCCAGGCACCCGUUCCACAUUACUUAUCCCCUCUAUGGUCUGAUUGCAGGACAAAGACCUGGGAAUCAUGAAAUAUCCAAUUUGAGCAUGGCCAAGCCAACGGUGGGUAAAAGCUUGCUGUGAUUGGGGUUGAAGUGAUGCUCAGCAAUGGUCGUGAGUGUGGCCACGAUGCCACUGAGGUCCCAGGGCUUGUCCUUGCUCACAGAAGGACAACGUGCCUCACCGGCCGGUCACACAGCCCCACUGGCUCUGCCCCUCUCAUCUCCCCCGACACCCACCUAAUGCAUUUCAAACCGUCACCGGAAAAAUCAGCUGCAGGGUGUGUUUGUUUUUGUAAAUUGCCCAUGGCAAAGAGGUAGAAUACACCUCCAAACAGUGUUCCUGCCCAUCCCGUGGGAAGUCUGCAUAAAGCUGUGUUGCUCGUCAAUUAGCCACUACAAGAAGGUCUCUAAAUGUGACCAAGUUACAGUGACCGUGUCUCCAGUUGGCACGGGUCUGCAUUAAAGACAGAGUGGCUUUAAGUCAGGGAAUGCAAGCUGUGUAAAAGGGAAGACCUGGACUUACACCAGGCAGCAUCUGGCCUGGUUUUUUCUGUUCUUUCAAGGAUACUCUGGGGGAAAUGUACAGAACCAUGAGUCAUGCUGAAGUCAGAAGAUAUUUAGAUAUUUGGGCUACCCUUCUGUCCCCAGACU